ensembl:snoRNA
AUGCCUUAUUAAAGACUGUUGCAAUGAUUAAGAGACUAACACAGAAAGGUAAAGUAAAUUUCCACAAAGCCCAAAAAAGACAGCAAAACUCUGAAUCCUGUCUGGUGUCACAAUU